rnacentral:pre_miRNA from 1 species
AGUGGAAUUGCUGGGUUGUAUGGUAAGUAUAUGUUUGAUUUUUUUAAGAAACUGACAAACUGUUUUCCAAAGUGGCUACGUCAUUUUACAUUUCCACCAGCAAU